rnacentral:tRNA from 1 species
GGGCUAGGGCUCCGUGGUAGAGUGCUUGCCUACUAGCAUGUGGGAGGCACUGGGUUCAAUCCCCAGCAGCACA